GCCUGGAAGGGCCAUAGCUCAGUGGCUGGGCAUCUGCUUUGAAUGCAGAAGGUCCCAGAUUCAAUCCCCGGCAUCUCCAGGUA
rnacentral:tRNA from 1 species